rnacentral:tRNA from 1 species
UCACUGGAGGACUAGUGGUUAGGCCAUGGCACUCUCACUGUCGCGGCCUGGGUUCGAUUCCCGGCCAGGCAA